rnacentral:rRNA from 1 species
AGAACGAACGCUGGCGGCAUGCCUAACACAUGCAAGUCGAACGAGACCUUCGGGUCUAGUGGCGCACGGGUGCGUAACGCGUGGGAAUCUGCCCUUGGGUUCGGAAUAACAGCGAGAAAUUGCUGCUAAUACCGGAUGAUGACGUAAGUCCAAAGAUUUAUCGCCCAAGGAUGAGCCCGCGUAGGAUUAGCUUGUUGGUGAGGUAAGAGCUCACCAAGGCGACGAUCCUUAGCUGGUCUGAGAGGAUGAUCAGCCACACGUGGGACUGAGACACGGCCCAGACCUCCGUACGGGAGGCAGCA